GGGGAGAUACCAAAGCGGCCAACUGGGGCAGACUGUAAAUCUGUUGUCGUAAGACUUCGCAGGUUCGAAUCCUGCUCUCCCCA
rnacentral:tRNA from 2 species